rnacentral:rRNA from 1 species
GUUCCUACGGGAGGCAGCAGUGGGGAAUAUUGCACAAUGGGGGAAACCCUGAUGCAGCAACGCCGCGUGAAGGAAGACGGUUUUCGGAUUGUAAACUUCUGUUCUUAGUGAAGAAUAAUGACGGUAGCUAAGGAGCAAGCCACGGCUAACUACGUGCCAGCAGCCGCGGUAAUACGUAGGUGGCAAGCGUUGUCCGGAAUUACUGGGUGUAAAGGGAGCGCAGGCGGGGAGCCAAGGCAGCUGGGAAAACUACGGGCUUAACUUGUAGACGGCAGUUGGAACUGGUUUUCUUGAGGGAAGAAGAG